rnacentral:rRNA from 1 species
GACGAACGCUGGCGGCGUGCUUAACACAUGCAAGUCGAACGGAAAGGCCCUGCUUUUGUGGGGUGCUCGAGUGGCGAACGGGUGAGUAACACGUGAGUAACCUGCCCUUGACUUUGGGAUAACUUCAGGAAACUGGGGCUAAUACCGGAUAGGAGCUCCUGCUGCAUGGUGGGGGUUGGAAAGUUUCGGCGGUUGGGGAUGGACUCGCGGCUUAUCAGCUUGUUGGUGGGGUAGUGGCUUACCAAGGCUUUGACGGGUAGCCGGCCUGAGUGGGUGACCGGCCACAUUGGGACUGAGAUACGGCCCAGACUCCUACGGGAGACAGCAGUGGGGAAUAUUGCACAAUGGGCGGAAGCCUGAUGCAGCAACGCCGCGUGCGGGAUGACGGCCUUCGGGUUGUAAACCGCUUUCGCCUGUGACGAAGCGUGAGUGACGGUAAUGGGUAAAGAAGCACCGGCUAACUACGUG